rnacentral:lncRNA from 1 species
AAGCAGUGUGGUUCAAAUUAGUCACUUUAGUACACAAGCAAAUAAUGUUGAUCUAUCAGUAGCAUACAAGUAAAAGCAAACUAAACCAUGUCAAUUUCAGUAGCACACACAAAGCUUUUUUUUAACUGAUGAUAAAGCACAUGGUGAAAGUCUACACUUGGUGUAUGUUUACUCGUACAGCCAUGGGAGUAUACUAUGUUCACAUCCUUUUCUGCGACUUUUUGCUAUGUUUGAACUUUUUGUUUUGAUGGAAGGACGUGUCACCUGGAACAUCUUCUCGCUGUCUUCUCUUCCUGCAAAAUAAUUUUACUACUACGUGUUGACCUAACACAACACAACAUCAGCGGCAAAGGCUCUGAGUAGUCCAGCCUCUACAUCUUCCCCUUCUACUUUUGAAACCAGCAAAAUGAAACAGCUCGUCAGUACAGGAAGAAUGAGAGAAAAGAAAGUCAAAAGAACUUAAGCAUCCUGCAACUACUUCUACAAUUUAUACUAAUCCCUUUUGCUCAAUGCUUGAAAUGUCGUACAAUAAUUAAGAAAUAGAAAGGAAAGUGGUGAGAGCUUUCGAUUGAACUUUCGAUGCUUUGUCUUUUGAACUUGUAUGAACUGAUUAGUUCUUUGUUUAAAAAAAUGUAAAUACAAUGGUCCUAAUCUGCAACAGAACAUUUUUUUUCUGGGCAAGUGUAAACAAUGAGACACCAAACCCUCUCUCUAAUACACACAGAAUUGAUGGUAGAAUACAUAGUGAGUUGUUAAUGAUGUUUUUGAUUUUCUCCUAUAGAAAACAUGUUCUUUUCUUCUUAUGAUAUAUAAAAUUGAACUAUCUAUCCAACACAAUCGAACUAUUCCCAUGUUUCUCUAUGGACUGAGGAAAGAAUACAUAGGGAAAUAACAUUUACCAGUACUAGUCUUGGGAAAACAAGAGCUAGAAUGCCAAGCAAGUAGUUUCUGUGUUAGGUUUGAACUAAUGACCUACCUGUAAGUAAACCAAGGAUCUCAUAAUGUUUUAUUCUGUGCAUCAUGCCCGGAUGUACAUAAUAGAGCAGUACAAUGUAUACAUUCAUGAAAGAAAUAUAUCAAAAAAUCCACCAAAGAGGUGCAUGAAUAUUAGUUUCCCAUGGAAAUUUUAAAUACUUGAGUGUUAGUUAAGCUUGGUACCCCCUUUCGUGCUAUUCUAGAUCCGAAAAUCGCAUCAUGUAUCCAUGGCACGUGGCACGACCAGAGAAGCAUGCCUAAGCAGGGUCAUAAGUGCACGAGAAUGUGUGUACAUUUUUUCUAUGUUAGUUCCAAUCUUGAACUUCAUGUGUGUUUAUUUUUCGAACUCCCUUGAACAAAACAGCUCACUUUUUUCUGUGGCUUAAGCACUGAACUGUUUCAAACAAAGAAAAAUAAUUUUCUAGACCACGAGACUCAGCAAAUUGAACCAUCAUUUUUUCUAUCCAGAGAACUACAGGAAUUAGCAAAAGUGAACUAUUUUCCUAAGUGAUUUUCCAACCAAAAACCACAUUUUUUAACGAAACAAAACUUUCUCAAUGAACAUCUUUAGGUUUUUUUGUUUGAACUUAGAAACUUUCCAAACAAGUACUUAGCUCACUUGUCUUUUUUCCUCACAAUGGAAUCAUAAGUGCACGACACAGAAGCAUUAACACAAGUGUCAAAUGUGGAAAAUAACAAAAUUUAAAGCUAAACAGAUAAAUGUGCAUAUAGAAAAACCUACAACUGACUGGCAUGUUCUCCUCAAUGGGCCAUGAUGCAGACAUCGCCACUGGCAAUACUUGGCGCACCGGAGAACCUGUACUGUUGGAUUUGUCGAGAGAGGACUGAGGGAACAUGUCCCCGUAGUUUAAUGUGACAAUGUAGUUCAUCUGCUCAAGAGGAAACCAAUAAC